rnacentral:rRNA from 1 species
UGGCGGCGUGCUUAACCAUGCAAGUCGAACGGUGAAGCCAAGCUUGCUUGGUGGAUCAGUGGCGAACGGGUGAGUAACACGUGAGCAACCUGCCCUGGACUCUGGGAUAAGCGCUGGAAACGGCGUCUAAUACUGGAUAUGAGCUCUCAUCGCAUGGUGGGGGUUGGAAAGAUUUUUUGGUCUGGGAUGGGCUCGCGGCCUAUCAGCUUGUUGGUGAGGUAAUGGCUCACCAAGGCGUCGACGGGUAGCCGGCCUGAGAGGGUGACCGGCCACACUGGGACUGAGACACGGCCCAGACUCCUACGGGAGGCAGCAGUGGGGAAUAUUGCACAAUGGGCGGAAGCCUGAUGCAGCAACGCCGCGUGAGGGAUGACGGCCUUCGGGUUGUAAACCUCUUUUAGCAGGGAAGAAGCGAGAGUGACGGUACCUGCAGAAAAAGCGCCGGCUAACUACGUGCCAGCAGCCGCGGUAAUACGUAGGGCGCAAGCGUUAUCCGGGAAUUAUUGGGCGUAAAGAGCUCGUAGGCGGUUUGUCGCGUCUGCUGUGAAAUCCCGAGGCUCAACCUCGGGCCUGCAGUGGGUACGGGCAGACUAGAGUGCGGUAGGGGAGAUUGGAAUUCCUGGUGUAGCGGUGGAAUGCGCAGAUAUCAGGAGGAACACCGAUGGCGAAGGCAGAUCUCUGGGCCGUAACUGACGCUGAGGAGCGAAAGGGUGGGGAGCAAACAGGCUUAGAUACCCUGGUAGUCCACCCCGUAAACGUUGGGAACUAGUUGUGGGGACCAUUCCACGGUUUCCGUGACGCAGCUAACGCAUUAAGUUCCCCGCCUGGGGAGUACGGCCGCAAGGCUAAAACUCAAAGGAAUUGACGGGGACCCGCACAAGCGGCGGAGCAUGCGGAUUAAUUCGAUGCAACGCGAAGAACCUUACCAAGGCUUGACAUACACCAGAACAUCGUAGAAAUACGGGACUCUUUGGACACUGGUGAACAGGUGGUGCAUGGUUGUCGUCAGCUCGUGUCGUGAGAUGUUGGGUUAAGUCCCGCAACGAGCGCAACCCUCGUUCUAUGUUGCCAGCACGUAAUGGUGGGAACUCAUGGGANUACUGCCGGGGUCAACUCGGAGGAAGGUGGGGAUGACGUCAAAUCAUCAUGCCCCUUAUGUCUUGGGCUUCACGCAUGCUACAAUGGCCGGUACAAAGGGCUGCAAUACCGUGAGGUGGAGCGAAUCCCAAAAAGCCGGUCCCAGUUCGGAUUGAGGUCUGCAACUCGACCUCAUGAAGUCGGAGUCGCUAGUAAUCGCAGAUCAGCAACGCUGCGGUGAAUACGUUCCCGGGUCUUGUACACACCGCCCGUCAAGUCAUGAAAGUCGGUAACACCUGAAGCCGGUGGCCUAACCCUUGUGGAGGGAGCCGUCGAAUGGGGGAUC